UUGUGAAAUGCUCGUCACUACCUUGAGCUGAAAAGAAAAGAAGACUAUAAAACGGCCAUUGUCUGCCACACAUCUUAUCACUCAUUGUCACUUCUUGCUGACAGCUGCUUGACGAAAGGUUGACAGUUUAAAGGUCACGAUGCAAGUGAAGACUGUUCUUGCCCUGUUGUUGGUCUUCACGCUGGCCACCCGCCAGGACACCCGAGCGAUGACGGUUGGGAGGAGACAACUUUAUGGUCCUCGUGACUAUGAACUCUACCGAAUCUUGGAUGCGCACAAGAAGAUGAUGGGCGGCUAUACAGGAAUUAACAUCUGUUUAAUCGCGCACAUGUGUUGCUUGCCAUCUUGGCCGAACUUUUGCCAGUCUACAAACCCAUCAACCUUGGGAGAUGAAGGGACACUCUGCUGGGACAUGAAUAUCUGUUCCGUUCUCUUGAAUGCAUUACUGGUGUUGUCAUCACACGCGUCUGAUCUUGUUUUGACCUAUAAAGGCUGCGGCUUAGUGGAUUCCACAACUUGUAGUAACGGAAAUUCACUCUUUAGAGCGACGAAUAUUCUUUGGUCAUAAAUAAAGACUUAUCAAAAUGAUUUAAAAACAACAAAAAA